rnacentral:rRNA from 1 species
AUUGAACGCUGGCGGCAGGCCUAACACAUGCAAGUCGAACGGUAACAGGAAGAAGCUUGCUUCUUUGCUGACGAGUGUCGGACGGGUGAGUAAUGUCUGGGAAACUGCCUGAUGGAGGGGGAUAACUACUGGAAACGGUAGCUAAUACCGCAUAACGUCGCAAGACCAAAGAGGGGGACCUUCGGGCCUCUUGCCAUCGGAUGUGCCCAGAUGGGAUUAGCUAGUAGGUGGGGUAACGGCUCACCUAGGCGACGAUCCCUAGCUGGUCUGAGAGGAUGACCAGCCACAAUGGAACUGAGACACGGUCCAGACUCCUACGGGAGGCAGCAGUGGGGAAUAUUGCACAAUGGGCGCAAGCCUGAUGCAGCAAUGCCGCGUGUAUGAAGAAGGCCUUCGGGUUGUAAAGUACUUUCAGCGGGGAGGAAGGGAGUAAAGUUAAUACCUUUGCUCAUUGACGUUACCCGCAGAAGAAGCACCGGCUAACUCCGU